UGAAAUGCGAAAUGUAAUGCGAUUUGCAUGAAUCUGUGAGUCAUCAAAUCUUUGAACGCAACUGGCACUCUCUGGGUAACUGGAGAGUAUACCUGUUUGAGAAUCUUAUCUAACCAUUGACACUAGUUUGUGUCAGAUGUGAGAGUUCAGGAGGGACCCCAAGUAUGGGGAUACCUUUUGUCUCUUUAAGUGUAGUAGGACCCGACUGGGCAAAGGUCCGGACAUUGUGUGAUAGAGACAUUUAAUGUCUACAUUCACAAUCAGUCUGGUCCAGAAACUCGGUCAUUCAGGUUCUUUCACAGUGGGGGGUGUUAAAAGCUCCCUACAACUACCAAUUUUAUUGAUCUCAAAUCAGGCAAGACUACCCGCUGAACUUAA
rnacentral:misc_RNA from 1 species